GUCAGGACUGUGGGGUCUCUAGCAGGCUCAGAGUCCUGUGGCUCCAUGGAGAGAGCAGCUGCUGGCAGGGACCAGAGGAGUGAGAGGGAGCUCCUGGUUGGCUGUUAGGACUGACAUCCUGAGGCGAGGGUGAAGAAGUUCCUCCUAUGUGGCCAGGAUAGACAACUUCUCCCAGAAUUCAGUGGAAAAGAAUCAUAGAGUGGCUCAGCUUAUAGCAGCACAAAGAAUCAUGGGAUAUGACCCCAGAAGUCCCAGUGACAACAUGGGGGAGCCCAGCACCAGCAAGAACACAGUAACUGAGCAGGUAGCCAGACAGAGGGAUUCCAGUUACCGGAGACCUUAAUGUGGCAACUGCAUUUAUUGGAUAUGUGUCCUGUAUAUUGGGACAGGCAAGACUCAAGCCAGAAUUCUUACACUUUAUCAGAAGUUGGUGUACCAAGCAAACACCAGUUGGCUUCCAUGAGUAUUGGAGUCAAUGAGAUCAUUCAGAUGAGUAACUGCUCAUCUACGUGAGUAAAUGAUUCACAAAUUGGCCCUUAGGAAAUAAGUCAGGAUUGGGAAGAUGACACUGACAGCUACAAAAAGUUUUCUGGCCGAUGCAAGAGGGACAGAUAUCUGAUGUCUCUGAUCUCUGCUUCACCACAGCUCCUCUCAUCUUUGCUUCAGCGAAAUGCUGUUGGGUAUUUACUUCAGACCACC